GGAGAUUCAAAGUGAAUAUGGACAUCUAUUCCUCCGGGCGUAACGAUCAGCCCUUCAGCAGACACUACUUCAGUGGCACAUCCUACAAUAAGACCCGGUGUUAUAUCCAUUAUAUCGGGAUUUCCCGAUUUACCUAUUCCCACAACUGCACCAUCUUUGAUCCCGAUAUCUCCUUUGAUUAUUCCGAUCAUAGGAUCUAUUAUUAUGGCAUUCGUAACGCACACAUCGAGUACUCCUUCUUCAGUAGUUUUUCCCGACAUAUUUCCCAUACCAUCUC
rnacentral:sRNA from 1 species